rnacentral:rRNA from 1 species
GACGAACGCUGGCGGCGUGCUUAACACAUGCAAGUCGAACGGAAAGGCCCUGCUUUUGUGGGGUGCUCGAGUGGCGAACGGGUGAGUAACACGUGAGUAACCUGCCCUUGACUUUGGGAUAACUUCAGGAAACUGGGGCUAAUACCGGAUAGGAGCUCCUGCUGCAUGGUGGGGGUUGGAAAGUUUCGGCGGUUGGGGAUGGACUCGCGGCUUAUCAGCUUGUUGGGGGGGUAGUGGCUUACCAAGGCUUUGACGGGUAGCCGGGCUGAGAGGGUGACCGGCCACAUUGGGACUGAGAUACGGCCCAGAGUCCUACGGGAGGCAGCAGUGGGGAAUAUUGCACAAUGGGCGGAAGCCUGAUGCAGAAACGCCGCGUGCGGGAUGACGGCCUUCGGGUUGUAACCGCUUUCGCCUGUGACGAAGCGUGAGUGACGGUAAUGGGUAAAGAAGCACCGGCUAACUACGUG